AUUCAGAAAACAAGCUAAGAUAAGGAUGUCAGCCCCCCAACCCCCAGACAUGUCUCAUGACCACUGAGUCAUGCAUCAAUGAUGGGUGUGGGUGUGUGGAUGGAUGUAGCCAAGCCCAUUGACCGAGGACUGAGACAUACUCCCCACUAAUCAACAAGUUAACAAGCUCUCUGAUGAGGAGGCAGUGAUUAAUGAACCAAUCGGCUUGCCCUACUGGAGUUCUUGAAGGACAGGGCCGUGCCUUGCCCCCUGGAUGAGGGGUCCCUAAGAAGAAUGAUUUUUCUCCUUCCUUCAAAGGUAGGAUCUAUGUCCCCUUGUCCUGGUGUCCUCUUCCACCUCCAUGCUCAGCAGGGCACCCUGGUGUUUCCUGGGAUGUGUGGUCCCAUGGGGCCUGACUGGCUGAUAAGGAGCCAUCUGCGGAGAAUGCAGGUGAUUGAACCCAUAAAAGAGUGACUGAGAGUUUCCUGGGGCUGCUGUAACAAAUGACCACAAAGGAUUCUCACAUGUUUAAGAGCUUGUUGCUCUCCCUCUCCCUCUCCCUCUCCCUCUCCCUCUCCGUCUCCCUCUCCGUCUCCCUCUCCGUCUCCCCACGGUCUCCCUCUCAUGCGGGGCCGAAGCUGGACUGUACUGCUGCCAUCUCGGCUCACUGCAACCUCCCUGCCUGAUUCUCCUGCCUCAGCCUGCCGAGUGCCUGCGAUUGCAGGCACGCGCCGCCACGCCUGACUGGUUUUGGUGGAGACGGGGUUU
rnacentral:lncRNA from 10 species